rfam:Pseudomonas brenneri strain RGCB 108 Contig027, whole genome shotgun sequence.
ACCCCGGUAUUAUUGCUGUUAUGGGUUUGAAUCGAGCUUAGCCUUGUUCAUUUUUUUACACAACACCCCCGUAAAAAAUACAACACGGCCCGCUCAAGCCUGCUAGUCCCAAGCCGGUCAAACUGGCAAAACUGCCCAAAAAAGCCGCAAAAAACCCCUCAAGGCGCUUUUUUAGGGCAA